rnacentral:rRNA from 1 species
GGGAAUAUUGGGCAAUGGGCGCAAGCCUGACCCAGCAACGCCGCGUGAAGGAAGAAGGCUUUCGGGUUGUAAACUUCUUUUCUGAGGGACGAAGAAAGUGACGGUACCUCAGGAAUAAGCCACGGCUAACUACGUGCCAGCAGCCGCGGUAAUACGUAGGUGGCAAGCGUUAUCCGGAUUUAUUGGGUGUAAAGGGCGUGUAGGCGGGAAUGCAAGUCAGAUGUGAAAACUAUGGGCUCAACCCAUAGCCUGCAUUUGAAACUGUAUUUCUUGAGUGCUGGAGAGGCAAUCGGAAUUCCGUGUGUAGCGGUGAAAUGCGUAGAUAUACGGAGGAACACCAGUGGCGAAGGCGGAUUGCUGGACAGUAACUGACGCUGAGGCGCGAAAGCGUGGGGAGCAAACAGG